AGAGUUUGAUCCUGGCUCAGGAUGAACGCUAGCGGCAGGCCUAACACAUGCAAGUCGAGGGGUAACAGGAAUUGCUUGCAAUUUGCUGACGACCGGCGCACGGGUGCGGAACGCGUAUGGAACCUGCCCCUGUCAGGGGAAUAGCCCAGAGAAAUUUGGAUUAAUGCCCCAUGGUAUCCCAUCGCCACAUGGUGAAGGGAUUAAAGAUUUAUCGGACAGGGAUGGCCAUGCGUACCAUUAGCUAGUUGGUAAGGUAACGGCUUACCAAGGCAACGAUGGUUAGGGGCCCUGAGAGGGGGAUCCCCCACACUGGUACUGAGACACGGACCAGACUCCUACGGGAGGCAGCAGUGAGGAAUAUUGGACAAUGGGCGGGAGCCUGAUCCAGCCAUGCCGCGUGCAGGAUGACUGCCCUAUGGGUUGUAAACUGCUUUUAUACGGGAAGAAACCUGUCCACGUGUGGACAGCUGACGGUACCGUAAGAAUAAGGACCGGCUAACUCCGUGCCAGCAGCCGCGGUAAUACGGAGGGUCCGAGCGUUAUCCGGAAUCAUUGGGUUUAAAGGGUCCGUAGGUGGGCCAUUAAGUCAGGGGUGAAAGUCUGCAGCUCAACUGUAGAAUUGCCUUUGAUACUGGUGGUCUUGAGUCGUUGUGGGGUUGCCGGAACAUGUGGUGUAGCGGUGAAAUGCAUAGAUAUCACAUAGAACACCGAUCGCGAAGGCAGGUGACCAACAACGUACUGACACUGAUGGACGAAAGCGUGGGUAGCGAACGGGAUUAGAUACCCCGGUAGUCCACGCCGUAAACGAUGGAUACUAGCUGUCGGGCCUUCGGGCUCGGCGGCCAAGCGAAAGUGAUAAGUAUCCCACCUGGGGAGUACGUUCGCAAGAAUGAAACUCAAAGGAAUUGACGGGGGCCCGCACAAGCGGU
rnacentral:rRNA from 1 species